AUGGCAAAGCGAAGAAGAAGUUCAAAGGAUAAACCGAAUGGAGCAAUGGUCAAAAGAAAGAGACCGGGUUCUCAGUUGGGCGACUUACCCAUGGAUAUAUUGUGCCACAUCAUAUCAUUGUUACCGUUAAAAGAGGCUGUGAGGACAGGCAUUUUAUCCAAACACUGGAGAUAUGUUUGGUGUAGCCGAACAAACUUGGAGUUUUCUUUUAGAUCAGUGAUGCGAAGGAGUUAUAAAGGAGGACCUUUUAUUCUCCAUCCUAUACAAGAAGUUAUUAAGAGAAUUGAUGCAGUCUUAAAACAACACUCUGGAGUAGGGGUCGAGAAAAUGGAAGUUGAUUUUUCGCUAAACGAUGAACAUGCUAAUCACAUUGAUAGAUGGCUCAACUUUGCUAUUACAGCAAAGACAAAGCAGCUAAUUCUUAAUUUUACAUCUGUGCAUCCUACAAUGGAACCGUACAAGUUCCCUUUUCAGCUUUUCGAUGCCACCAAGAGUUCCAUCUUCCAGUCGUUGACACUUGGUUCUGUUUCUCUAAAUAAGCCUGCAAACUUCAAAGCUUUUUUAAACCUUAAAAAGCUUAUGUUAAUCUAUGUAAAUAUUACUGAUGAAGAACUUCAACUUCUGCUGUCCAACUGCAAAGUUUUCGGAGUUGCUCGUUGUCGAAUGCUCACAACCAUUAAGACACCUCAACUUUCAGACCACUUUAAGCAUUUGCGUGUCUUUCACUGCCCCUUGGUUCAAGAGAUAAAUUUGAAUUAUGGCUUGACAACACUUGAAUAUAAAUAUGAAGGUCCAUCAAUACCGAUAGCACCUCCUGUAACUUUGACAAACUUAAGCAUAGAGUCAUCAGAUGUUUGCUCAGCUCUUGCAUAUAUCUCCACUGAAUUGCCCAGUACGGUGCGUCGACUGGAGAUGCUGUCUCUAAAAUGUGAAGAACUUGAGAGAGCUAUUUUACCGGAGAAACCUCUCAAAUUUAUCCAUCUAAGGCACCUGAGAUUGGAAAUAACCUUUUAUCCCUGACGAAAAAAGUCCGAUGUCCUUGAUUUUGCCUCCCUCUUGGAGGCUGCUCCUUUAAUGGAAAAGCUGGAGUUUCAUAUGUGGAUGGACUGUGAAUGUGUACGAUACCGCAAGCUUGAUGGCAAGCUAAGGAGCCUACCUCCAAAGCCACACUACCAUCUCAAGUUGGUGGACAUUACGGGGUUUUAUGGUGAGAAAGAUCAGCUGGAGUUGGCACUUUAUAUCCUCAGGAAUUCUGUCGCGCUUGAGGCAAUGACAAUAGAUCCAAAGCCAACGGUAGCUGCUGAGCAGUGUCGUCUGACAUGGAAAAAAGACGGGUUUUCUUACGUGGAUGGCUACAGAGUUGCGAAGAAAUACCUUCUCAGGGCAGACCACCGCGGCGUUGUCGACGUUGUAAAAGCCGGGCGUAAGGAUAUCGAAGCUCUGAGGAACGCUCCGUAUAAGAUGCCUGAAGCUACAUAA
rnacentral:rRNA from 1 species